rnacentral:rRNA from 1 species
ACUGACAGCCAUGGUUACCGCGGCUGCUGGCACGGAGUUAGCCGGUGCUUCUUCUGUGAGUGAUGUCCUUCCUGCCGGCUAUUAACCCGCAGGCCUUCUUCCUCACUGAAAGUGCUUUACAACCCGAAGGCCUUCUUCACACACGCGGCAUGGCUGGAUCAGGGUUGCCCCCAUUGUCCAAUAUUCCCCACUGCUGCCUCCCGUAGGAGUCUGGGCCGUGUCUCAGUCCCAGUGUGGCUGAUCAUCCUCUCAGACCAGCUACGGAUCGUCGCCUUGGUGAGCCGUUACCUCACCAACCAGCUAAUCCGACAUAGGCUCAACCGAUAGCGCGAGGCCCGAAGGUCCCCCGCUUUCCCCCGUAGGGCGUAUGCGGUAUUAGCCUGGGUUUCCCCAGGUUAUCCCCACUACCGGGCAGAUUCCUAUGCAUUACUCACCCGUCCGCCGCUCGCCACCAGGGAGCAAGCUCCCCGUGCUGCCGCUCGACUUGCAUGUGUUAGGCCUGCCGCCAGCGUUCAAU